UACAGAGGUCCCGAGCGUUGUUCGGAUUCAUUGGGCGUAAAGGGUGCGUAGGCGGCGGGGCAAGUCUGAUGUGAAAUCCCGGGGCUCAACCCCGGAACUGCAUUGGAUACUGCCUUGCUUGAGUACUGGAGAGGAGACUGGAAUUUACGGUGUAGCAGUGAAAUGCGUAGAUAUCGUAAGGAAGGCCAGUGGCGAAGGCGAGUCUCUGGACAGUUACUGACGCUGAGGCACGAAGGCCAGGGGGAGCAAACGGG
rnacentral:rRNA from 1 species